rnacentral:tmRNA from 1 species
GGGGGUGAAUUGCUUCGACAGGGAUAUGAACCAAAAUCUGCAAGUAAAAUCAAAAAUAAGCGCCAACUUAUUUAAACAACCCGCUUUCGCAUACGCUAACGCGUAAGCUAAGCCAUCCGAAUCUCUGAUUCUCGAUGGGGGAAUCCGGGUGUUAUAUUAAUCGAGAUAGGCAAUCGCAGCGCCUCGGGCGAUUGUUGAAAUCAAGGGGCUAGGAAUGAGAUAAUUUUGUCUGUUCUCCAUAUCUUAUUCCGAACGGCAAAACAGACUAAACUUGUAGACGAUUUCUGGCAAGAUUUCUGGAUCGGGGCUCAAAGCCCCGCACCUCCACUC